ACCUGCGGAAGGAUCAUUAACGAUUUCGUAGCUGGGCUUCGGCCCUGUCUGCACCCUUGUCUUUUGCGUACCCAUUGUUUCCUCGGCGGGCUUGCCUGCCGAUAGGACAUUGUAAAACCACUUGUAAUUGCAAUCAGCGUCAGUAAAACAAACAAUAUUAAAACUUUCAACAACGGAUCUCUUGGUUCUGGCAUCGAUGAAGAACGCAGCGAAAUGCGAAAAGUAGUGUGAAUUGCAGAAUUCAGUGAAUCAUCGAAUCUUUGAACGCACAUUGCGCCCCUUGGUAUUCCAUGGGGCAUGCCUGUUCGAGCGUCAUUUGAUACCUCAAGCUCUGCUUGGUGUUGGGCGUUUGUCCUGUCAAGGGACUCGCCUUAAAGCAAUUGGCAGCCGAUGUACCGGUCGUGGAGCGCAGCACAUUCUUGCGAUUCCCGCCAGCGCGUCGGCGUCCAGAAGCCCAUUUUCUCAAUUUGACCUC
rnacentral:rRNA from 1 species